rnacentral:lncRNA from 1 species
AAACCAGGAGCUGUGGAUGAUACAGGUCAGAUCUGAGUUCCCUCUGGUGAAUUCCUGUCAGAGUUCAGCUGAAAUUUGGAAGCCUGUGGUUGUAGUAGCUGAUUUUGUAAAUAGUUUGUAUAAUAAAUAAAAUAUUUAAAAAAUGCUGCCUUCUUGGCUCAGAAUUCUUUGGGGGAAGUACAGAGGGAAGCUGGAACCAGCUGGUUAGUGCCAUGGGUGGGCAAAGGGCCUCUUCAGGUCUUCGGGUGUCUUGCUGAGCUGGCCUGCUGCAAGGGGCAGGAGCCAUCCUCCACCUGUGGCCUCUCAGGACACCUGAGUGAACUCAGCACCUGUGAGCUCCUGGGAAGAGAGAGGGUUCUGCUCUGGGGCUUGCAGCCUAUGGAGAGGCUUUUGUGCAGUAGGCUAGAAAAUGGGCAGAAAGUAUUUUAACAAAUCUGUUUUCUAAAUGAAUAAUGCAGUUGGUGCAAUAACUUUUUAAUCUCAUUGUGUAAUACCUGUCUCUUACUUUAAGCUGCAGAUAUUCGUACUUCUUGUGCUUAACCGUACUGUCAAGAGGGUUAGAUGAAGCCAGGAGAUGGAAAUUUUGAAUCCUUUGUGUCUGUGAAGUUGUACAAGAUGCUUUCAGAUUGCAGGCUGGAAACAAUGUACCUGCAAGUUUCUGUUGAAACAACCAGAUGUCUGAUAUCAUCUGGCUGCCCCCGUUGUCUGUUCUGGUCACCACUUCCCUGGAUGUCUUGGAGACAGAACAGUGCCAGUCACCUGUUGCUGGCUCCACAGCUUCUGCUUACCCUGAGAGCCUGGGGGAGUGGAAGCUGGCAUGAGCCUGGAGGAGCUGGAGAAGGAGAUGAUCCGAGCAGUGCAGCUUCAGGUCAGGAGGGAAUUUAGCACCCUGUUACCACCCUCAGAGGGGGCAACUGUUCUGAAUUGGUUCCCCCUCACAGACCAUGCCUGCCUUGGAUCAUUUCUGCCUUUGAGUGGUUUUUGAAUGGAGCUGACUUGACCCAGUUUA